UAAAGGAGACAUUCUGCUUAC
rnacentral:piRNA from 1 species